rnacentral:rRNA from 1 species
GAUGAACGCUGGCGGCGUGCCUAAUACAUGCAAGUCGAGCGAACGGACGAGAAGCUUGCUUUUCUGAUGUUAGCGGCGGUCGGGUGAGUAACACGUGGAUAACCUACCUAUAAGACUGGGAUAACUUCGGGAAACCGGAGCUAAUACCGGAUAAUAUUUUGAACCGCAUGGUUCAAAAGUGAAAGACGGUCUUGCUGUCACUUAUAGAUGGAUCCGCGCUGCAUUAGCUAGUUGGUAAGGUAACGGCUUACCAAGGCAACGAUGCAUAGCCGACCUGAGAGGGUGAUCGGCCACACUGGAACUGAGACACGGUCCAGACUCCUACGGGAGGCAGCAGUAGGGAAUCUUCCGCAAUAGGCGAAAGCCUGACGGAGCAACGCCGCGUGAGUGAUGAAGGUCUUCGGAUCGUAAAACUCUGUUAUUAGGGAAGAACAUAUGUGUAAGUAACUGUGCACAUCUUGACGGUACCUAAUCAGAAAGCCACGGCUAACUACGUG